UUGAAUAUUUAAAAAUAUGGAAAUAUAUUGAAUAUUAAAAAAAAGUGGAAAUGUAUUGAAUAUUACAAAAAAAUUAAAAACAAAAAAAAGUGAACCUAUGUUUUACCAAUUAGUCAUUGUUAUUAUUACCAAGUAGUACUCCUAUAACUUAGUAACUUACGGUAUUAUCAAUGUCAUUAUCAUUAUUUAAAAAAAAAAUAGAAAACAAAGAAGGGAAAGUGAUACUUUGUUUACCACCGAGUCAACGACAACUUUGUUCACUCCGCCCAGCCAUUUCCACAAUCAACUCACCAUCUUCAACUCCCAUUUUUUCCAUGAUUCCAUCAUUUUAAUUUCAAUAUCAAUAUCAUCCCGGCUUCAUAACACAACAGAUGUACAACUUAUACCCAAAUCAAUGCCAAAAUAGGAGAGAGAAAGUAGCUCAGAUCAACAACAAUGGUGGAAAUAGCUGAGUCGUCUUUCAUGUUUAGAUCUAUGCACGCAUACAUGACGAUCGAUGUUCCAGGCUUCACACGAAACAGUUCAAGCCCAAUUUGACUGAAGACCAAUGAUUCUUUGAAUUUUGAAUAAAUGACGGCUUUGGAAAGAGCGAGAGGUGACGCAAUCAGAACAAUCGUCGGGUGGAGAUGCAAGAAUUAACGCUUCCAUUUCUGCAUGCAUCCAAACUGCUUUUCUGGUAUAUUAUUCAUAAUCUUCAGUAAUCUUUGUUUUUAUAAUUCUAAUGUUUUAUUUGCCAAUUUUUCUGAAUUUUGUUGUAAAUUGUUUCAGUCAUGUUUUUUUAACCAAUUUCCAAACAAUUAUUUAUUUGCAUGAUGGAUUGCCACAUUAAAAUUCAAUGACGUGAAUUUUGUGUAA